rnacentral:sRNA from 1 species
AAAAAAAUUAUCAAAAAAAAA